CAGUAGCCGCGGGAAAACGGAGGGUGCAAGCGUUAAUUGGAAUUACUGGGCGUAAAGCGCACGCAGGCGGUCUGACAAGUCAGAUGUGAAAUCCCCGGGCUUAACCUGGGAACUGCAUUUGAAACUGUCAGGCUGGAGUCUUGUAGAGGGGGGUAGAAUUCCAGGUGUAGCGGUGAAAUGCGUAGAGAUCUGGAGGAAUACCGGUGGCGAAGGCGGCCCCCUGGACAAAGACUGACGCUCAGGUGCGAAAGCGUGGGGAGCAAACAGGAUUAGAUACCCGAGUAGUCCCUGUCUCUUAUAC
rnacentral:rRNA from 1 species